AUUUGAAGGGAUAGGAUUGGAGCCUUCACACUUGGUUUCUUUCCUUAGGUUUAGGUCACUAGGGUAUUAUAAAUAGAAGAACAUAGGAGCUUAGGAAAACCCUUCGGUGGCUGCCGAAAUCAAAAGAGAAGAAAAGGGGAAAGGCAAAGCUUUGGUGCUAGGGGAAAGGAAGAAUAGCAAAAUGUUAAGGUUUGGGUAUUAGAGACAUAUCCUAGAGGGACACAAGCUUAGGGUUCGGUCACCAUUAAGAAAAUCAAAGCUUGUUGUGAAGUAUUCGUGCUCUUAUUUUGUGCUUGGACCUGAGUGCUGCAACAUUAUUAAAGGCAGACGUGCCUAAGAUUCUGGCCAAAAGUGUGUCAGGGAAAUUUAAGGCCAAAAGGGUGCCAGGUGAAUUAUGGCCAAAAGGGUGCCAUGAAGAUGACCAAAAGUAGACACUAGAUGGACUUGUAUGGCACGCAUGGUGAGCUGAGUCAGUUUUCCAAGAGUAUGUAUGUAUGCUGCAGGGAGCCAAUGAACGAGGAAAUGAUCUGAAACGCCGUAGUGCCUUGGAGUCUUUCUUAUGUUUAAUUUAUCAGUGGGAUGUAAUUUAGUUAUUUUUUACAACUGCAUAAAACUCUCUUUUGUUUUGAACAUUGGAUCCAAACUCCGCAUACAUUUCCAAUAAAGCCCCUCUGUGUUUUUUGACAAAGUUAUGAAAUCUUUUGAGUUAUUGUUAAAACUAGUAUUUUAAAUAAAAAUAAUAAAUUAAGGGCGUUACAGUAAGUA